CUCAGUGCUUACAUAGCUACUGAGUUAGGACUGUUACUAAAAAUACUCCUAAACACUAACCCAAGCCAUGGAACAGGAAGGGCUUCUCCAGUCCAAAGACUACAUGAAAAGAGAAGAAGAAAAGGCUUCCUGUUUGUAAAAGGAUGGUGCGGAAAUAACAAAAGCAAACCACCAAGCAUACUUUUGUAAGAACACGAAGUUCUCUCUGCAUUCAUGAGGACUCAGAAAAAAUCUGUACCAUAUAUGCAAUGUUAAUGGAGUGCACCUACUUCUCCUGAGAAUGCAACGAAGACCGCAAAGAUCUGCAGUUUCUCUGAGAUUCCACAUCUGUCUAACAUGAGGGUACCUAGGCUGUGCUCUAGAAAUGAGAUAAGUUCUAAGACUGUUUGAUUUGUGCUUCCUGUAUCAGCUCAGAAAGGGAAUACAAUUUCCAAAGAGAAUUUGUAGUUACCCUAUUAAAGUGACAUGCACUACCUAUGCUGUGACUUAUUCCAAGGAGGGAAAUCCCUCACCCUUCACUAUUUAUUUUAUGAAAAAUAAUAAAUAAAAAGCAAUCAAGCAUGUCCCA